UACAGAGGUCCCAAGCGUUGUUCGGAUUCACUGGGCGUAAAGGGUGCGUAGGCGGUCGGGUAAGUCUGACGUGAAAUCUCCGGGCCUAACCCGGAAACUGCGUUGGAAACUGCUCGGCUCGAGGAAUGGAGGGGAGACUGGAAUACUUGGUGUAGCAGUGAAAUGCGUAGAUAUCAAGUGGAACACCAGUGGCGAAGGCGAGUCUCUGGACAUUUCCUGACGCUGAGGCACGAAAGCCAGGGGAGCAAACGGG
rnacentral:rRNA from 1 species